rnacentral:rRNA from 1 species
CCCCUAGAUGUUCUGGGCCGCACGCGCGCUACACUGAACAGUUCAACAAGUCUUAACCUUGGCCGAUAGGUCUGGGUAAUCUUUGAACGCUGUUCGUGAUUGGGAUAGACCUUUGCAAUUAUGGGUCUUCAACGAGGAAUUCCUAGUAAACGCAAGUCAUCAGCUUGCAUUGAUUACGUCCCUGCCCUUUGUACACACCGCCCGUCGCACCUACCGAUUGGAUGGUCCGGUGAAGCCCUCGGAUUGGCCCUGAGCUUUUUGUGACGGGACGAGAAGUAGGCUAAACCUUACCAUCUAGAGGAAGGUGAAGUCGUAACA